AGGCUUAACACAUGCAAGUCGAGGGGCAGCAUUGGUCUUUAGCUUGCUAAGGCCGAUGGCGACCGGCGCACGGGUGAGUAACACGUAUCCAACCUGCCGUCUACUCUUGGACAGCCUUCUGAAAAGGAAGAUUAAUACAAGAUGGCAUCAUGAGUCCGCAUGUUCACAUGAUUAAAGGUAUUCCGGUAGACGAUAGGCAUGCGUUCCAUUAGGCAGUUGGCGGGGUAACGGCCCACCAAACCGACGAUGGAUAGGGGUUCUGAGAGGAAGGUCCCCCACAUUGGUACUGAGACACGGACCAAACUCCUACGGGAGGCAGCAGUGAGGAAUAUUGGUCAAUGGGCGCGAGCCUGAACCAGCCAAGUCGCGUGAGGGAUGAAGGUUCUAUGGAUCGUAAACCUCUUUUAUAAGGGAAUAAAGUGCGGGACGUGUCCCGUUUUGUAUGUACCUUAUGAAUAAGGAUCGGCUAACUCCGUG
rnacentral:rRNA from 1 species